rnacentral:lncRNA from 1 species
GGUUGGACCCUUGGGGGGGGGGCGAGGCCGAGGGAGCACGCGAGGGAGGGUGGGCAGCUCCUCACCCCGGGGGUGGUUUGCGAUUCCGGACAGACAGACCGACGUCCCAGACCAGCGCAGGCGGGAGGGCUGGAGGAGGUGGAGCCGCCGGGGAGGGGCGGUGCCGCGGGGAGCGGAGCCCGGCCUCCCGCCCCCACCCCCUUCGGUGCCUUAGUCUGGGCGGUGACACAAAAAGCUCCCGCUCGGAGCCGAGCGCCUGGCGGCGGUGUCCGACCGGGAGCGCGGAGGGCGGCCGGGCAGGUGGGGCGCGUCCCGAAGGGCCGAGCCGGGAGCUGGGGCUGCAGGCGCCGAAGGCGCGCUCCCGGCGCCCGCCCCACAGCCCGCGGCGCGUGUCUGGCUGAGCGGGGGGCGGGCGCGCCGGGACCACCCCGAGAUGCUGCCGCCGCAGCUGCCGCCGCCUCUGUAGGGAGCACCCGAGCCCGCUGCGGAGAGAGGUCUGUGAGUUUCGGUUUGUUUCUCUGCUCUGCCCCUCCCGGGUUCUGGGCGGCGAGAGGGGGGCGAAGGGAUGUCUGCGCCCCCAGGGCGGCUGCACCCGGAGCUUGGGAAGCAGGAAAGGGGGGCUGCCUCCUGGCGUAUUGGGGUAUCUUUUGGAUGGUAAGUAGGGGUGCCACAGGGGUCCCGGGGAGAGGAGUGCCGAGCGCGGCGGGGCGGCCCCGGGGCGCAGGGGAGAUGGUCCCUGGAGUUGCGUUUCUCCCGAGCGCUGGUGGACUUGGGCUGACGGCGUCUCGGCGGAGUCCUCAGAUGCCCCCUGGAGCUCCAGUCCUAGGGAGCUCGUCUCGUGCCCGCGCCGCGCGCGCCCCUGAGAUGCACGUGCGUGCGCGCGCGCCCUACUUGCGCCCCCACGCCUCACACACCCCGAUGGUCCUCUCGCAAGCCCCUAGUCUAGCGCCUUCCCCACCCCCAGAAGUUGCCCUCGCGCGCCCCUCUGCGGCCACGGGGCACCUCCGGGGAGGAGAGGGCGCAGAGGCGGGCCAGAUGUUGGGGGGCUUUUGUGUAGACCCACGCGCCUGGGGCGCUUGCUCCUGGAAGGGCAGCGGCAGGACAAAGUAG